rnacentral:ncRNA from 2 species
AUGUGGCUAAUUUUUUUUUCAUAUGUUACUUUAAUCUUCAUAAACAAGGCAUGUGUUCCUUGCAGAAGCAGUAUGUGGAGACAGGCAAGCUUGCAGCAGUUGCAGUAGUGUGGAAAUCUUUUUGCCUGUCUUAUAAUUUCGUUUGUUUUUUUACUUCCCCAGAUUAGUCUGCUGAACUCAAUUCAUGAGAACUUCUCACAGGCCAUGGCCUCCCCUGCUGCCCGGGACCAGUUUUUACGUCAGAUGGAACAGAUUGUGGAAGGAAUUAAGCAAAGUAGAAUG